UAGGGAAUCUUCGGCAAUGGACGCAAGUCUGACCGAGCAACGCCGCGUGAGUGAAGAAGGCUUUCGGGUCGUAAAACUCUGUUGCCAGGGAAGAACGCUUGGGAGAGUAACUGCUCCUGAGGUGACGGUACCUGAGAAGAAAGCCCCGGCUAACUACGUGCCAGCAGCCGCGGUAAUACGUAGGGGGCAAGCGUUGUCCGGAAUUAUUGGGCGUAAAGCGCGCGCAGGCGGUCUUUUAAGUCUGGUGUUUAAACCCGGAGCUCAACUCCGGGUCGCACGGGAAACUGGGAGACUGGAGUGCAGGAGAGGGAAGCGGAAUUCCACGUGUAGCGGUGAAAUGCGUAGAGAUGUGGAGGAACACCAGUGGCGAAGGCGGCUUCCUGGCCUGUAACUGACGCUGAGGCGCGAAAGCGUGGGGAGCAAACA
rnacentral:rRNA from 1 species